UACGGGGGGAGCAAGCGUUGUUCGGAAUUACUGGGCGUAAAGGGCCCGUAGGCGGCCAACUAAGUCGGAUGUGAAAUCCCCAGGCUUAACCUGGGAACUGCAUCCGAUACUGGAUGGCUUGAAUUCGGGAGAGGGAUGCAGAAUUCCAGGUGUAGCGGUGAAAUGCGUAGAGAUCAGGAAGAACAUCGGUGGCGAAGGCGCUCUGCUGGACCAUAACUGGCACUCAGGGACGAAAGCUAGGGGAGCGAAUGGG
rnacentral:rRNA from 1 species